GAUGAACGCUGGCGGCGUGCCUAAUACAUGCAAGUCGAGCGAACGGACGAGAAGCUUGCUUCUCUGAUGUUAGCGGCGGACGGGUGAGUAACACGUGGAUAACCUACCUAUAAGACUGGGAUAACUUCGGGAAACCGGAGCUAAUACCGGAUAAUAUUUUGAACCGCAUGGUUCAAAAGUGAAAGACGGUCUUGCUGUCACUUAUAGAUGGAUCCGCGCUGCAUUAGCUAGUUGGUAAGGUAACGGCUUACCAAGGCACCGAUGCAUAGCCGACCUGAGAGGGUGAUCGGCCACACUGGAACUGAGACACGGUCCAGACUCCUACGGGAGGCAGCAGUAGGGAAUCUUCCGCAAUGGGCGAAAGCCUGACGGAGCAACGCCGCGUGAGUGAUGAAGGUCUUCGGAUCGUAAAACUCUGUUAUUAGGGAAGAACAUAUGUGUAAGUAACUGUGCACAUCUUGACGGUACCUAAUCAGAAAGCCACGGCUAACUACGUGCCAGCAGCCGCGGUAAUACGUAGGUGGCAAGCGUUAUCCGGAAUUAUUGGGCGUAAAGCGCGCGUAGGCGGUUUUUUAAGUCUGAUGUGAAAGCCCACGGCUCAACCGUGGAGGGUCAUUGGAAACUGGAAAACUUGAGUGCAGAAGAGGAAAGUGGAAUUCCAUGUGUAGCGGUGAAAUGCGCAGAGAUAUGGAGGAACACCAGUGGCGAAGGCGACUUUCUGGUCUGUAACUGACGCUGAUGUGCGAAAGCGUGGGGAUCAAACAGGAUUAGAUACCCUGGUAGUCCACGCCGUAAACGAUGAGUGCUAAGUGUUAGGGGGUUUCCGCCCCUUAGUGCUGCAGCUAACGCAUUAAGCACUCCGCCUGGGGAGUACGACCGCAAGGUUGAAACUCAAAGGAAUUGACGGGGACCCGCACAAGCGGUGGAGCAUGUGGUUUAAUUCGAAGCAACGCGAAGAACCUUACCAAAUCUUGACAUCCUUUGACAACUCUAGAGAUAGAGCCUUCCCCUUCGGGGGACAAAGUGACAGGUGGUGCAUGGUUGUCGUCAGCUCGUGUCGUGAGAUGUUGGGUUAAGUCCCGCAACGAGCGCAACCCUUAAGCUUAGUUGCCAUCAUUAAGUUGGGCACUCUAAGUUGACUGCCGGUGACAAACCGGAGGAAGGUGGGGAUGACGUCAAAUCAUCAUGCCCCUUAUGAUUUGGGCUACACACGUGCUACAAUGGACAAUACAAAGGGCAGCGAAACCGCGAGGUCAAGCAAAUCCCAUAAAGUUGUUCUCAGUUCGGAUUGUAGUCUGCAACUCGACUACAUGAAGCUGGAAUCGCUAGUAAUCGUAGAUCAGCAUGCUACGGUGAAUACGUUCCCGGGUCU
rnacentral:rRNA from 1 species